rnacentral:rRNA from 1 species
GAUGAACGCUGGCGGCGUGCUUAACACAUGCAAGUCGAACGGAAAGGCCAGUGCUUGCACUGGUACUCGAGUGGCGAACGGGUGAGUAACACGUGGGUGAUCUGCCCUGCACUUCGGGAUAAGCCUGGGAAACUGGGUCUAAUACCGGAUAGGACAAUGGUCUGGAUGCCGUUGUGGAAAGUUUUUUCGGUGUGGGAUGAGCUCGCGGCCUAUCAGCUUGUUGGUGGGGUAAUGGCCUACCAAGGCGUCGACGGGUAGCCGGCCUGAGAGGGUGUACGGCCACAUUGGGACUGAGAGACAGCCCAGAGUCCUACGGGAGGCAGCAGUGGGGAAUAUUGCACAAUGGGCGCAAGCCUGAUGCAGCGAGGCCGCGGGGGGGAUGACGGCCUUCGGGUUGUAAACUCCUUUCGCUAGGGACGAAGCGUAUUUGUGACGGUACCUGGAGAAGAAGCACCGGCUAACUACGUG